rnacentral:rRNA from 1 species
ACUCCUACGGGAGGCAGCAGUGGGGAAUCUUGCGCAAUGGGGCGAAAGCCUGACGCAGCGACGCCGCGUGAGUGAUGAAGGCCUUCGGGUUGUAAAGCUCUGUGGAGGGGGACGGAAUAAGGGUUGGCUAACAUCCAGCUCGAUGACGGUACCCCUUUAGCAAGCACCGGCUAACUCUGUGCCAGCAGCCGCGGUAAU